CUGCUGUCCUAUUGGAUGACUGAACUAAAUCCAAAUUCAACCCUCUGGGGGUACAAUCCCAGAAGGAAAGACAAUUUCAUCCUCAGCACCUUAAAGAGAAGUCUCACAUGUAUGCCCUUUAACAGUUAAGGGGCUUUCAAAUUAAGGGUCUGCAUCUCCCUGACCCACCGUUUAAACCUGUCUUCCUUUGUGAGCAACAUCAGCAUAAGUGAUGGAUUUACUGGAGCUCAGCACAUCUCCCACCUCCCCUAGCAGUUUAGUUGGCCCCCAAGUCAAAUCAGGUUAGAGCAAAAUCCUGGGCAAACUAGCCGUGCCUCAGGGCCUUGCCUGAUGAUCCAAUUCCAAAGCAGGGCCCAGUUCCAAAACUUUUGUUCCGAGUUUGAGAGACAUGGCUACAAUACAGUAGAAUACUGUUUGUGCCUUCUCUCUGACAAAGCCAAGGGCAGUGGGGGCCAGAGGCCAGUUUACUAGGACAACAAACCAGCUUCUCUUCUUUCCCUAAAGUAAAAGAGGAAAUGCCUUGGCAGCACCCGUAGGGAGAGGGAGUCCUGGGAAGAAACUGGCUGGUAUCUCUAUCUCUUCUCUUCCGUGUGUGAGGGUUUCUGUCUGGCCCUUCUAAUCUACAGAGUCCCCCAGGCCAGCUGGGCAGCUGCAUUCCAAGGACGAAGUGCCUCUUUGAAGUUGGAAGCUCUAGAUGUCUUGCCCUACGUCUUGCUAAAGCUCUGCAGAAUGAUCAAAAUAACUGAGACUUGAGCUGCCUUCCUUCCAGAAGAGGUUUCCUAGGGCAAGAUGACACACAGCCACAUUUUAUGAGUCCUCCAGACGAGCCAGUUGCAAGGCGGUUGCCAGGCCAAGUAAAAUCCAGAUGGUGUCCUCUGUAUUCCCAAGAAUACACCCUGAGUUUAUCAGUGUGGGUAAAAGAGAAUGUUUUCCCUUAUAGAAGGCAAACUGCAUGGAACAGUUCAACACCGGAAGAAGCUUUGAUUUUACUUUACUUCUAAGACAUCAGCAGUUCAACAUUCAUUAAAAUUUCCUUCAAAACCAGAAAGCAGACUUGUCUUAAUUAAUUUGAAUCAGUUAAGGAAUGGCACGAGUUUCACGUAUACAUUUAUUCCCAACUACUUCCCUUCUUUACCUCCCCCCCCGAAAACAGUUUUCCGGGCUGAGAUUUAAUCUGGAGAAAUAUCCAUAAAUCUAUUAGCCACAGGGGAAAUUUGUCAUCUUUCACAGGAUUUGCUACAGUGGAUCUAUGAAAGUCCGUUUAAGUAACUUCUCUCUGGGAGGUAAAUUAAUCAAGUAAGGAAAAGUGGAGAACUAGUUACAACUCCUCCACUUUUAAUCCAUUCCAAGAUCUAACAGCACAUCUUCCAUAAAAGUGCUUAAAAAAACCCACAACAUUUUAGAACGUUUAUGCCCCUGUAGCCAUCUGCUCCAACUUUCUUUGUAUCAUUUUAGUUUAUGAUCUCCAAA
rnacentral:lncRNA from 1 species